UACGAAGGGGGCUAGCGUUGUUCGGAAUUACUGGGCGUAAAGAGCGCGUAGGCGGUCUAUCAAGUUUGGAAGUGAAAUCCCCGAGCUUAACUCGGGAAUGGCUUUCAAAACUAAUAGACUAGAGAAUGUAGAGGAUGGUGGAAUUCCUAGUGUAGAGGUGAAAUUCUUAGAUAUUAGGAGGAACAUCGGAGGCGAAAGCGGCCAAUCUGGCCAUUUCUGACGCUGAGGUGCGGAAAAGCGUGGGGGAGCAAACAGGGAUUAAG
rnacentral:rRNA from 1 species